CAGCUUACCAUGCAAGUCGAGCGGAGAGAGGUAGCUUGCUACUGAUCUUAGCGGCGGACGGGUGAGUAAUGCUUAGGAAUCUGCCUAUUAGUGGGGGACAACAUUUCGAAAGGAAUGCUAAUACCGCAUACGUCCUACGGGAGAAAGCAGGGGAUCUUCGGACCUUGCGCUAAUAGAUGAGCCUAAGUCGGAUUAGCUAGUUGGUGGGGUAAAGGCCUACCAAGGCGACGAUCUGUAGCGGGUCUGAGAGGAUGAUCCGCCACACUGGGACUGAGACACGGCCCAGACUCCUACGGGAGGCAGCAGUGGGGAAUAUUGGACAAUGGGCGCAAGCCUGAUCCAGCCAUGCCGCGUGUGUGAAGAAGGCCUUAUGGUUGUAAAGCACUUUAAGCGAGGAGGAGGCUACUUUAGUUAAUACCUAGAGAUAGUGGACGUUACUCGCAGAAUAAGCACCGGCUAACUCUGUGCCAGCAGCCGCGGUAAUACAGAGGGUGCAAGCGUUAAUCGGAUUUACUGGGCGUAAAGCGCGCGUAGGCGGCUAAUUAAGUCAAAUGUGAAAUCCCCGAGCUUAACUUGGGAAUUGCAUUCGAUACUGGUUAGCUAGAGUGUGGGAGAGGAUGGUAGAAUUCCAGGUGUAGCGGUGAAAUGCGUAGAGAUCUGGAGGAAUACCGAUGGCGAAGGCAGCCAUCUGGCCUAACACUGACGCUGUGGUGCGAAAGCAUGGGGAGCAAACAGGAUUAGAUACCCUGGUAGUCCAUGCCGUAAACGAUGUCUACUAGCCGUUGGGGCCUUUGAGGCUUUAGUGGCGCAGCUAACGCGAUAAGUAGACCGCCUGGGGAGUACGGUCGCAAGACUAAAACUCAAAUGAAUUGACGGGGGCCCGCACAAGCGGUGGAGCAUGUGGUUUAAUUCGAUGCAACGCGAAGAACCUUACCUGGCCCUUGACAUAGUAAGAACUUUCCAGAGAUGGAUUGGUGCCUUUCGGGAACUUACAUACAGUGCUGCAUGCUGUCGUCA
rnacentral:rRNA from 1 species